AUGUAAUGCCCCGGAGUGACAUAUCUACAAGCAAGGGGGACGCAGCUCUGAGCAGAAGGCCUCAGAACAGAGCAAACAAACAGGAGAUGUUUCCUGAUGCCCUGUACAAGAAGAUGUAAGACAGGAACAUAAAGGAGCACACAAUCCAAGAGGGACUGAAUACCGACAGAAGAGACUGCUUUUCUUCUACUGUGGAAUAUUAACAUUUGUCAUAAGAACAAUGCUACCAAAAAACAAAAGAUCAAGGGCGAAUUAAUUUCCACAGAUCCCCACGUAUCCAGUGGGACCAGAGACUAAAGUGAGAUCCCAGAAGUUGAAAGCAUGUGUCUACCAUGUGACUUGAGUGACAGAAGAGUCCUCUCAUCUGAGUGGUUUGUGCCACUUCAUGCCACCACCAGUCUAGCUCACUCAUAGCCCUAGAGAAAGAAGCCUGAAAAUGGAGGGCCAAAAGACACCAAACCUCCUUCCCAUGAGGCCACAGGAAUACAUGUGUCCGCAUAGCCUUGGCAGGCUGAUUGUGAAAGAAGACAAUGUCUCCAGUUAGGAAGAUAAUGUAUUGGAGUAAUAAAGAG